CAGCAGCCGCGGUAAUACAGAGGGUGCGAGCGUUAAUCGGAUUUACUGGGCGUAAAGCGUGCGUAGGCGGCUAAUUGAGUCGGAUGUGAAAUCCCCGAGCUUAACUUGGGAAUUGCAUUAGAUACUGGUUAGCUAGAGUGUGGGAGAGGAUGGUAGAAUUCCAGGUGUAGCGGUGAAAUGCGUAGAGAUCUGGAGGAAUACCGAUGGCGAAGGCAGCCAUCUGGCCUAACACUGACGCUGAGGUACGAAAGCAUGGGGAGCAAACAGGAUUAGAUACCCGAGUAGUCCCUGUCUCUUAUAC
rnacentral:rRNA from 1 species